GAGUUUGAUCGUGGCUCAGAUUGAACGCUGGCGGAAUGCUUUACACAUGCAAGUCGAGCGGCAGCGCGGGGCAACCUGGCGGCGAGCGGCGAACGGGUGAGUAAUGCAUCGGAACAUGUCCAUGUCGUGGGGGAUAGCCCGGCGAAAGCCGGAUUAAUACCGCAUACGCCCGAGAGGGGAAAGUGGGGGACCGCAAGGCCUCACGCGAUUGGGUUGGCCGAUGUCCGAUUAGCUAGUUGGCGGGGUAAUGGCCCACCAAGGCGAUGAUCGGUAGCUGGUCUGAGAGGAUGAUCAGCCACACUGGGACUGAGACACGGCCCAGACUCCUACGGGAGGCAGCAGUGGGGAAUUUUGGACAAUGGGGGCAACCCUGAUCCAGCCAUUCCGCGUGAGUGAAGAAGGCCUUCGGUUGUAAGCUC
rnacentral:rRNA from 1 species